CAAAUUCAUACAGGAGUAAUACGUUGGACAGUCACCCUUAUUUAAUUUACAAGGCAAGCUAACGCGACGUAUUCCUGCCGCUGCUUGCCGAACUGGCGGGCAGCAAUCCCUUCU
rfam:Enterobacter cloacae SCF1, complete genome.